rnacentral:rRNA from 1 species
AUUGAACGCUGGCGGCAGGCCUAACACAUGCAAGUCGAGCGAGCGGCGGACGGGUGAGUAAUGUAUGGGGACUGCCCGAUAGAGGGGGAUCACUACUGGAAACGGUGGCUAAUACCGCAUACUAUCGGAUAACCCAUAUGGGAUUAGCUAGUAGGUGGGGUAACGGCUCACCUAGGCGACGAUCUCUAGCUGGUCUGAGAGGAUGAUCAGCCAAACGGGAACUGAGACACGGCCCGGACUCCUAGGGAGGCAGCAGUGGGGAAUAUUGCACAAUGGGCGAAAGCCUGAUACAGCAAGGCCGCGUGUAUGAAGAAGGCCUUAGGGUUGUAAAGUACUUUCAGCGGGGAGGCGUUACCGGCAGAAGAAGCACCGGCUAACUCCGUGCCAGCAGCCGCGGUAAUUC